AUGAUAGUAGCGGCCCUCACAGCAUUUUUCCACCUUCAAAGAGAACCAAAUCUGCAGUCUGGGCGUCUUUUGGUUAUUAUAAGAAUGCUCAGGGACAGCUGCAGAAGCUUCGAGAACAAAGUUGAUGCGAGGGGCGGCAACACUUCCAAUUUACUCACUUUGACUUUACGAUCAUCACCCGCAACUGUUCAGCAAAUGCAAGGGUCAAUGCUAAGACACAUACAAGGAGGAGCAAGUGGCCAAGAGGAGACGAUGAGCAACCAUCUACAAGCAGUUCAGGCACACAUCAACCCCAGCAAGCCAGCAGGUCUGUAGACUCCACAACAGUACCAAGCCCUGAUCAACCACCCCCACCCUGUUUUUUUCUUCGGGGGGGGGGCAGCUAGCAGCACCACUGGUCCUCUCGAUGCAUUGUAGGUAUUCAAAUUUAAACUGUUUUUUUAUAUUAAGUUCUUUUAUUC
rnacentral:lncRNA from 1 species